ensembl:snRNA U6 U6 spliceosomal RNA
GAGCUCGCUUCGGCAGCACAUACACUGAAAUUGGAACGAUACGGAGAAGAUUAGCAUGGCCCCUGUGCAGGGAUGAUGAGCAAAUUCAUGAAGCUUUUCAUAUUAAA